CCUUGUUUCAAAUGAAGAAAUGAAAGAGGAGUCCUGGAAAUUCAUCCUGGAAGCCUGCCUCUCCAACUAGACUCUGCUGGGUCGGGGAGCAUAACCAAGAACCUGUGUGUUUGUGGUGGCAGGGAGGGAGAUUUCAGCCCUGUUCUGGGGACUGCACUGUGGAGAAUAAGGAGAUUAUGAAACUUGGAGGUAAAACAGGACCAUG
rnacentral:lncRNA from 1 species